GACAUUAUGACCAGGGAAAAAGCCGA
rnacentral:rasiRNA from 1 species